rnacentral:sRNA from 1 species
AACCCCCAGAUAGUCUGGGGGUUCCGUGAAAGCUAUAGCGUUGAGUCUUUCAAAUAAAAACUCCUUUUGAUAAAAUAUAAAUGCGGUCUGGCAACUGCAUAAGAAAUCAAAAG